rnacentral:lncRNA from 10 species
GGCCCGCGACGCACCGAGGCCUGAGGACCCGAAAGCCGGGCGCGGGGAGAUGACCGGUGGCUCGUGACGGUCCCACGGGCAAAAUCUUCCAUCGCCCGGGGCUGAGACUUGUCAAACUGCCCUCUACGGUCACCCGGAAAGUAGGAGGCUUUUUCUGCAGAGGGGAAAAAAAUCAAAAAGAGCCGUUCCAUCCCCCCUCCAAGGACUGGGUUUGAAUUGCUUUUCAUCUGCAGUGGCUGUGAUUCAGCGUCCCUCUUAGCAGCAGGCAAUGACAGAGGCAGGAGAGGGGAAAAAAAAAAAGAAAGAAAGAAAAAACACAGCAAAUGAAUCAAACGGACGUAGCAGGCAAGAGUGUGGUUAUCGUUGGACCAGGAUUCAGGAUCUGACUGAGUAGCUGACUCUUAAUCCAGUUUGUGUUGAUCACCAGGAGGAUCUGGACCUCAGUAUUACCACAUCUAGAGCUAUAAUCACAUCCCUGUUAAGCCUUCCUGAGAUCACACCAAAUGUCCUUGAUGGGAAUUGUAAACAACCCUUACUUCUGGUUUCUAAUGAUAUUCCAGGAAAGGAGCCUAACUAGAGUCAGUGAUAUGCCAACUCCACCUUUGCCUUCCACCAUGUUUGGAAGCUCCCUGAGGCCUCACCAGGAGCAGAUGCUCGUCCCAUGCUUCCUAUAAGCCUGCAGAACUGGAAAAGAAAGCUGGAUAAAGUAUUUAUAGAAGAUAGAGGACCUGUGGUGGCUCAUGCCUGUAAUCCAAGGUGGAAGGAUUGCUUGAGGCCAGAAGUUCAAGACCAGUCCAAGCAACAUAGCAAGGCCCCAUCUCUACAAAAAAUGAAAAUAAAAUUAGCCGAGCGUGAUGGCUCAUGCCUGUAGUUCUAGCUUCUAGAGAGGCUGAGGCAGGAGGAUUGCUUGAGUCCAGGAGUUCAAGAUUACAGUGAGCUAUGGUCACACCACUGCACUCCAGCCUGGGUGAUGGAGUGAGACUGUCUCAAUAAAAAGACAAAAAGGCUGGCCAGGGGCAGUGGUUCAUGCCUGUAAACCCAGCACUUUGGGAGGCAAAGGCAGGAGGAUUGCUUAAGCCCAGGAAUUUGAGAUCAGCCUGGACAACAUGAAACAGUUUAAUAAGGUUUUUUUUAGGUGUCAUAGCAUUAGGCAAAGCUAACUGAAUUGACUGGAUUGUCAUAGUCAAACAUAUUGCAGAUCCGCUUCCAAUAGAAGACAAUGAAAUAGUCACUGGAAAGCCUGUGCUCCUAAUUUUAGAACCUCAUGUAUCUUCUGCUCCUAAACUCUGAUAGGACUAAAUGCUGUGAGGCCUCAAUGCAUUAUGUUAAUGUGUAUUUUCACCAGGUCAAGGAAGCUUUUCCUGAUCCACUAACUAAGGACAAUCAAACCCUUCAUGAUCUAGAAUCUGGAGACUGUGUCUUCUGGGAAUAGUAUCAGAGAAAGACUGCCCUUACUGCCCACAUGUAGCAAAACUUUGAGACGUUGAAUUAUGGGUCCAUAAUCUCACAACUCAGAGGGGCACCUCUAGACUCUUGGAACUGUAUAUCUAUUGGAGACUUUAAGGUAAAGCUGAACAGAGAGACGUUUUUCUCCAGAAGCAGACAGCACCAUAGUCAUGGACAGCUUUCCCAAGAUCACAGAUCAAGACUUCUCUGCCGUCAUGAGACUCAUAACCUCUUAAUUUUUUCUUGCUUAUGCUUCUGUGAACAAUAGAAUUGGAAAAGGGGUGGUCCCGCGUGCACCCAUAGGGUAUACUUUUAUUUGUGGAGGAUUUUGCUGCCAACCUUAUACAUGGGCAAACUUAUGCCUUCAUGGAUGGAAGAUAAAGGGCUAAUAUGGGUUAGAAAUUUUAAUGGUACCUUUGUUUCUCCAUAAUCAUUCAGAAACAGAACACUGGUCCACUCUUGUUAACCUACAUCAUAGGUUGAAGAGAACAUUGCCAGGAGGCCUUCAUCCUUCCAGAUGGGCACCAUUUGUUGGGUCUUUUUCCGUGGUAUGAAGAAAAUGAAGCAAUGAUUAGAAAUUGGUCCCUCGGCCGGGCACAAUGGCUCAUGCCUGUAAUCCCAUCACUUUGGCAGGCCGAGGCGGGUGGAUCACCUGAGGUCAGGAGUUUGAGACCAGCCUGACCAAUGUGGUGAAACGCCAUCUCUACUAAAAAUACAAAAAUUAGCUGGGUGUGAUGGUGCACACCUGUAAUCCAGCUACUCGGGAGGCUGAGACAGGAGAAUUGCUUGAACCUGGGAGGCAGAGGUUGCAGUGAGCCAAGAUCACCCCACUGCAUUCCAGGUUGGGCAACAGAGCAAGACUCUGUCUCAAAAAAAAAAGAAGAAAGAAAGAAAUUGAUCCCUCAUAAUAGGCUGUAUAGCAGAUUCUACUGCAAAGGCUAUGGUUGCACAACAGACUUCUUUGAAUUUGCUUGCUAAACUUUUACUGGAUAAUACUGGGAUUACAGGUGUGAGCCACUGUGCCCAGCCUCUCCUGUUUAACUGUAUUCAUUCUAAUGUUUACUUACUUCUUUAAUUUGUAAAAUUGGGUCACUUAGAGUUUUUUUAGCCUAUCUUGCCAUUUAGCCACUGUUACUGAUAAUUUGGAUGGAAAAGAAAAAUAAAUUAUAUCACCUCUCAUCUUCAGUGUAUAUAUGUGUUAACUUAGUAAAUAUAGUAUUCUUUCUCGUUCCUAAUGAAAAUUUAGUUUACGUACUGAAACACUGCAAACUUUUAUAAAUAUUGUGAUGUAUUUGACCAAUACAAAGGAUCUUUUUAGAAACAGCAAACAGUUCUCAGAUUAUAGGAAUUACUCAUUUAAUGAUAGUUUCUUCUU